rnacentral:lncRNA from 10 species
GUUCUUAACCUCUUUUUCCUGGAAAGGAAAUAACCCCCGAAGCCUUUGCAACUAAGGACAUGUAUCCUUCAGACAAGUGUUUACUGGGCAACUUCUUCGUGCUGUAAUUGAGUGUGGCCGAUUGCUCACAAAGAUGUUUGCAAAAUCCCUCCUGUCCCCUAACUCACUUCUCCUUGCAGUGUCACUCUGCCAACUUCUCCUGUCGAUUGGUGAAGACUGUUUCUCCUCCCCCUUGAAUAUGGGCUGGGCUUGUAACUUGCUUGACCAAUAGAAUGCAGAGAAAUGAAAUGCAGCCUUCAACAUUCAAGGCUAUGCUCAAGGAGUCUAACCCUGUGGAUAUGCUGUUGUCAAAUGAGGGAGCUUCGAUUAGCCUGUUGAAGACACACAGACGACCCGACAGGCAAUACCAACAUUCAGAUAUGCAAGUUAUGCUGUCUUAGACCAUGCUGCCCAGGUGAACUUUUAGACGACUGCAAUUUGUGAGUGACUCUAGGCAAGACCAGAAGAAACUUCUAGCUAAAUCUAAACCAAAUGCCAACUCAGAAUUGUAAGCAAAUAAAACGGUUGUUGUUUAAAGACACUAACUUUUGGGGUGUUUUGCCACACCUCAAUACAUAACUGUUACACUAAUUAUUUUUCAUUGUGAAAUCUUCAGCGUCUUAUUCUGUAAUCAAACCAGAAUGUCCUUGCCUUCUUAGCACUUUGCCACAGUCCAGUGGGGUGAAUAGACAGCAGCUGCUCAUUUAUGCUCAUGCUCAUGUUCAUAAUUUGCAUUUGGACUAAAAGGAGCUCUGUUCUCCAGGACAGAACUAUUCUAAAGCUCUUCAGGAACAGGAACAGGAGUCCAUCACAGACAGCGAAAUCAAAAGCGCCCUACAUAGAGGCAUCCAGACUGAGAGCUGAAAGGGAUCUGGGAAAUCAUUUAGUCUCACUCCCUCAUUUUCCAUUCAGACCACAGGGAUGAAAGAACUUGCUGAAGUUCUCACAGCUCUGUAGUGGCACAGUCAGAACAAGGAUCCCAAUCUCCUAACUACUAACAUAAAAUGCUUUCAGCAUGCAAGUUGAGCAUACAAUGGGACAGUUUAAAUUUAAAUGGUGUUUUGAGCAAGGGGAGAGUCUAAUUAAUUACUUCAAAGUAUAAUUUUGGAGUCACCAGAAAGGCGUUAAAGACAAAAAAAUGCUUUGGAACCUAGGUGCUUCAUAUCUGAAAUUGGGGCAGGUACAGGUGUAUUCCUACCACUAAAGGGUCAUUAGUUGGUUGGGUAGUCCUUUAGUGUUCUUGGUACUAAGCACAAAACAUGGGUAAGAUGGUUCAAGGCUGGUUGUGGUGGCUCAUGCCUAUAGCCCCAGCAUUUUAGGAGGCCAAGGCUGGAGGAUAGCUUGAGCCCAGGAAUUCGAGACAAGCCUGGGCAAUAUCGCAAGACCUUGUCUCUACAAAUAAUAAUUUCUUAAGAAUUGGCUGGGCAUGGUGGCACACACCUGUAGGCUAUUUGAGAGGUUGAGGUGGGAGGAUUGCUUUAGUGUGGGAGGCUGAGGCUGCAAUGAGGUGAUCACACUAUGGUACUACAGCCUGAGAAACAGUGUAAGAUCCUGCCUCAAAAAAAAAAAGUUUAUGUUCUCAAAGUGCUCAUAAUCUAGUGGUAGUACAGUAUUUGAGAUAUUAGAGCAGUUUCUCCUCCUUUUGCAACUAAGGACAUGUAUCUUUAAAGCAGAAGGAAUGGCAGAGUCGUGUAAUAAACCCUCAAGUACCAUUACUUAGCUUCAACAACUAUCGACACUCUACUGUUCUUGUUUCAUUUAUGCCUCACCUCCUUCCCAUCCCCCACUUGAAUAUUCUCAUCCUUUUUUUUUACAGUUUUUAAGAUAACAAUUACAUAACUGAAAUGCACAAAUCUUAGCUGUACAGUUUUGACAUAUGGAUACACCUGUGUAACCAAUGACUGUAUCACAACAUAGAGCAUUUCAUCUCCCCAGCAAGAUCCAUGUGUCUUUUCCUAGUUAAUGCCUCUUUAUUUCUGAGAUGGUUAUUGCUCUGCUUUUGUUUUUCAUGUUAGGCUAGUCUUGCCUGUUCUAGAAUUUCAUAUAACUGAGAACAUACAGAAUGUACUCACUAGUAGUGUCUGACUUUUUCACAAAGGAUAAUGUCUGUGGUAUUCAUUCAUGCUGUUGUAUGCAUCAGUAGUUUAUUUUCUUUUUACUAUUAAGUAGUGUUCUAAGGACUAUUUUAAUAGCAUCCCACAAAGGGGGUAUGAUAUGUUCUAUUUACAUUAUUAUUUGGUUUGUAAUAUUUUAUAUUUUCUCUUGUGAUUUCUCCUUUCACUCAUGAAUUAUUAUAAUAAAUUUUUUAAAGUGUAUUAUAAUAUAUUUAGUGAAACUGUAUUAUUUGAUUUACUAAUGUCUGGUGCUUUUGUAUCUGGUGUUGUUGGUUUCUAAUUUAAUUACAUGGUUUUCAGAGAAUAUACUCUGAAAGAUUUUAAUCUUUUGAAAUUUAUAUAUAUACUUUAUAGCCUAGCAUAUGGUAUAGCUUGGUGAAUGUUCUAUGUGUUCAUGAAAGGAAUUCUGAAGCUACUGGGUAUAGUUUUCUACAAAUGUCAAUUAGGCCAAGUUGCUUGAUAAUUUUUUUCAAAUAUUUUAUAUCUGUAUUGAUGGUUUUUCUGGAUGGUCUUUCAGCUACUGAGUGAAAAAUGUUAAAAUCUCUAGUUUUGAUUGUGGACAUGUCUAAUUUUUCCUUUAGUUUUAUCUGUUUUUGUUUUACGUAUUUUGAAGCUAUUAUUAGAUUAAUAACAUUCAUAAUUGUUAUACUUUCUUUUUUUAUUUCUCUUUUGUUAUUCCCAUUUUUUCAUUCUCUCUUAUCAUUAAGAAAUGUCCCUGCUUAUCUCUAGUGAUAGUUUUUGCUUUGAAGUCUAUUGUGUUCCAUUGCAAUAUAACCAUACUAGCUUCUUUGUGAUUGGCGUUUUUUGAGAAAUCUCCAUUCUGUUUUCCAUAAGGGUUACAUUCCCAUAAACAGUGCAUAAGAGUUCCUUUUUCUUUACAUUGUCACCAAAAUUUGUUACUAUUUGACUCUUUAGUAAUUGACAUUCUGACUGGAGUAAGAUGAUACCUCAUUGUGGUUUUAAUUUUCAUUUCUCUGAUUAGUGAUGUUGAACAUUUUUUUAUAUACCUGUUGGCCAUUUGUAAGUUUUCUCUUAAAAAAUGGCUAUUUGUGUU